UAAUAAAAUAAUUUCUUGUUUGGUAGAUUCUUUUGGCUUGUUAGGUUUGAAUGCAAAGAUAAUUGUUCAUUGAUGCACGUGGAUGGUUUGUGAUUGAUAAGACGUACAGUCUUCUUGAUGUCAUGUUUUUUCGUACUUGAAAUAAGCCAAAGAAGGAAAAAAGACGAUAAAGAUUAGUACUCGGAAUGGAAUGUUACGAGUAUUAUUAUUGAUAUGGACGCACGUAGAU
rnacentral:lncRNA from 1 species